CACUAUCGUUAACUGAAUACAUAGGUUAACGAGGCGAACCGGGGGAACUGAAACAUCUAAGUACCCCGAGGAAAAGAAAUCAACCGAGAUUCCCCCAGUAGCGGCGAGCGAACGGGGAGCAGCCCAGAGUCUGAAUCAGCUUGUGUGUUAGUGGAACGGUCUGGAAAGUCCGACGGUACAGGGUGAUAGUCCCGUACACCAAAAUGCACAGGCUGUGAACUCGAAGAGUAGGGCGGGACACGUGGUAUCCUGUCUGAAUAUGGGGGGACCAUCCUCCAAGGCUAAAUACUCCUGACUGACCGAUAGUGAACCAGUACCGUGAGGGAAAGGCGAAAAGAACCCCGGCGAGGGGAGUGAAAAAGAACCUGAAACCGUGUACGUACAAGCAGUGGGAGCACCUUCGGGUGUGACUGCGUACCUUUUGUAUAAUGGGUCAGCGACUUAUAUUCUGUAGCAAGGUUAACCGUAUAGGGGAGCCGCAGGGAAACCGAGUCUUAACUGGGCGUUAAGUUGCAGGGUAUAGACCCGAAACCCGGUGAUCUAGCCAUGGGCAGGUUGAAGGUUGGGUAACACUAACUGGAGGACCGAACCGACUAAUGUUGAAAAAUUAGCGGAUGACUUGUGGCUGGGGGUGAAAGGCCAAUCAAACCGGGAGAUAGCUGGUUCUCCCCGAAAGCUAUUUAGGUAGCGCCUCGUGAACUCAUCUUCGGGGGUAGAGCACUGUUUCGGCUAGGGGGUCAUCCCGACUUACCAACCCGAUGCAAACUACGAAUACCGAAGAAUGUUAUCACGGGAGACACACGGCGGGUGCUAACGUCCGUCGUGAAGAGGGAAACAACCCAGACCGCCAGCUAAGGUCCCAAAGUCAUGGUUAAGUGGGAAACGAUGUGGGAAGGCACAGACAGCCAGGAUGUUGGCUUAGAAGCAGCCAUCAUUUAAAGAAAGCGUAAUAGCUCACUGGUCGAGUCGGCCUGCGCGGAAGAUGUAACGGGGCUAAACCAUGCACCGAAGCUGCGGCAGCGACACUAUGUGUUGUUGGGUAGGGGAGCGUUCUGUAAGCCUGCGAAGGUGACCUGUGAGGGUUGCUGGAGGUAUCAGAAGUGCGAAUGCUGACAUAAGUAACGAUAAAGCGGGUGAAAAGCCCGCUCGCCGGAAGACCAAGGGUUCCUGUCCAACGUUAAUCGGGGCAGGGUGAGUCGACCCCUAAGGCGAGGCCGAAAGGCGUAGUCGAUGGGAAACAGGUUAAUAUUCCUGUACUUGGUGUUACUGCGAAGGGGGGACGGAGAAGGCUAUGUUAGCCGGGCGACGGUUGUCCCGGUUUAAGCAUGUAGGCUGGUUAUCCAGGCAAAUCCGGAUAAUCAAGGCUGAGGUGUGAUGACGAGGCACUACGGUGCUGAAGUAACAAAUGCCCUGCUUCCAGGAAAAGCCUCUAAGCAUCAGGUAACAUCAAAUCGUACCCCAAACCGACACAGGUGGUCAGGUAGAGAAUACCAAGGCGCUUGAGAGAACUCGGGUGAAGGAACUAGGCAAAAUGGUGCCGUAACUUCGGGAGAAGGCACGCUGGUGUGUAGGUGAAGUCCCUGCGGAUGGAGCUGAGACCAGUCGAAGAUACCAGCUGGCUGCAACUGUUUAUUAAAAACACAGCACUGUGCAAACACGAAAGUGGACGUAUACGGUGUGACGCCUGCCCGGUGCCGGAAGGUUAAUUGAUGGGGUUAUCCGUAAGGAGAAGCUCUUGAUCGAAGCCCCGGUAAACGGCGGCCGUAACUAUAACGGUCCUAAGGUAGCGAAAUUCCUUGUCGGGUAAGUUCCGACCUGCACGAAUGGCGUAAUGAUGGCCAGGCUGUCUCCACCCGAGACUCAGUGAAAUUGAACUCGCUGUGAAGAUGCAGUGUACCCGCGGCAAGACGGAAAGACCCCGUGAACCUUUACUAUAGCUUGACACUGAACAUUGAGCCUUGAUGUGUAGGAUAGGUGGGAGGCUUUGAAGCGUGGACGCCAGUCUGCGUGGAGCCAACCUUGAAAUACCACCCUUUAAUGUUUGAUGUUCUAACGUUGGCCCCUUACCGGGGUUGCGGACAGUGUCUGGUGGGUAGUUUGACUGGGGCGGUCUCCUCCCAAAGCGUAACGGAGGAGCACGAAGGUUAGCUAAUCCUGGUCGGACAUCAGGAGGUUAGUGCAAUGGCAUAAGCUAGCUUGACUGCGAGCGUGACGGCGCGAGCAGGUGCGAAAGCAGGUCAUAGUGAUCCGGUGGUUCUGAAUGGAAGGGCCAUCGCUCAACGGAUAAAAGGUACUCCGGGGAUAACAGGCUGAUACCGCCCAAGAGUUCAUAUCGACGGCGGUGUUUGGCACCUCGAUGUCGGCUCAUCACAUCCUGGGGCUGAAGUAGGUCCCAAGGGUAUGGCUGUUCGCCAUUUAAAGUGGUACGCGAGCUGGGUUUAGAACGUCGUGAGACAGUUCGGUCCCUAUCUGCCGUGGGCGCUGGAGAAUUGAGGGGGGCUGCUCCUAGUACGAGAGGACCGGAGUGGACGCAUCACUGGUGUUCGGGUUGUCAUGCCAAUGGCACUGCCCGGUAGCUAAAUGCGGAAGAGAUAAGUGCUGAAAGCAUCUAAGCACGAAACUUGCCCCGAGAUGAGUUCUCCCUGAGACUUUAAGUCUCCUGAAGGAACGUUAAAGACGAUGACGUUGAUAGGCCGGGUGUGUAAGCGCAGCGAUGCGUUGAGCUAACCGGUACUAAUGAACCGUGAGGCUUAACCUUACAACGCCGAAG
rnacentral:rRNA from 1 species